UACGGGGGGAGCAAGCGUUGUUCGGAUUUACUGGGCGUAAAGGGCGCGUAGGCGGCGUGGCAAGUCACUUGUGAAAUCUCCGGGCUUAACUCGGAACGGUCAAGUGAUACUGCUGUGCUAGAGUGCGGAAGGGGCAACUGGAAUUCUUGGUGUAGCGGUGAAAUGCGUAGAUAUCUGGAGGAACACCGGUGGCGAAGGCGGCAUCCUGGACCGACAUUGACGCUGAGGCGCGAAAGCCAGGGGAGCAAACGGG
rnacentral:rRNA from 1 species